rnacentral:rRNA from 1 species
CCUACGGGCGGCAGCAGUGAGGAAUAUUGGUCAAUGGGCGCGAGCCUGAACCAGCCAAGUAGCGUGAAGGAUGACUGCCCUACGGGUUGUAAACUUCUUUUAUAAAGGAAUAAAGAGAGGCACGUGUGACUUUUUGUAUGUACUUUAUGAAUAAGGAUCGGCUAACUCCGUGCCAGCAGCCGCGGUAAUACGGAGGAUGCGAGCGUUAUCCGGAUUUAUUGGGUGUAAAGGGUGCGUAGGUUGUUUUUUAAGUCAGCGGUGAAAGUUUGUGGCUCAACCAUAAAAUUGCCGUUGAAACUGGAAGACUUGAGUGUGUUUGAGGGAGGCGGAAUGCGUGGUGUAGCGGUGAAAUGCUUAGAGAUCACGAAGAACUCCGAUUGCGAAGGCAGCUUACUAAACUGCCACUGACAUUGAUGCUCGAAAGUGUGGGUAUCAAACAGGAUUAGAUACCCUAGUAGUC